rnacentral:rRNA from 1 species
UACGGGGGGGGCAAGCGUUGUUCGGAAUUACUGGGCGUAAAGGGCGCGUAGGCGGUUGGAUAAGUCAGCUGUGAAAACCACGAGCUUAACUCGUGGCCUGCAGUUGAGACUGUCUGGCUUGAGUGUGGGAGAGGAGAGUGGAAUUCCUGGUGUAGCGGUGAAAUGCGCAGAUAUCAGGAGGAACACCUAUUGCGAAGGCAGCUCGCUGGGACGUAACUGACGCUGAGACGCGAAAGCGUGGGGAGCAAACAGG